UCCUGUACUUCUCCACUCCUCCAUGUACCCUGUUCCUGUUUGUUCCCUGCUCGUGCUCCAUAUUACCUACCUGUUUCACUAGUUUGGAGUCAAAUCUGACAACCGCCGCCUUUGCCCGCUCCUUCCUCCGGCUCUCCUAAUACUCUCCGGCGGCUGUCCCGGCUCCUUUAAAGGGCUCUCGCAGUCGGGACCGUGGGACCGCAUCCGACCGCUGUGUUCAACUUGAGGCGAAGAAAGACACGGGAAACUCCUCGGGAUUCUCCGUACA